rnacentral:rRNA from 1 species
AUUGAACGCUGGCGGCAGGCCUAACACAUGCAAGUCGAGCGGAUGAAGGGAGCUUGCUCCUGGAUUCAGCGGCGGACGGGUGAGUAAUUCCUAGGAAUCUGCCUUGUAGUGGGGGAUAACGUCCGGAAACGGGCGCUAAUACCGCAUACGUCCUGAGGGAGAAAGUGGGGGAUCUUCGGACCUCACGCUAUCAGAUGAGCCUAGGUCGGAUUAGCUAGUUGGUGGGGUAAAGGCCUACCAAGGCGACGAUCCGUAACUGGUCUGAGAGGAUGAUCAGUCACACUGGAACUGAGACACGGUCCAGACUCCUACGGGAGGCAGCAGUGGGGAAUAUUGGACAAUGGGCGAAAGCCUGAUCCAGCCAUGCCGCGUGUGUGAAGAAGGUCUUCGGAUUGUAAAGCACUUUAAGUUGGGAGGAAGGGCAGUAAGUUAAUACCUUGCUGUUUUGACGUUACCAACAGAAUAAGCACCGGCUAACUUCGUG